GUUUUGAAUAAUAAAUGUUACCUUUAAGUUAUUCAAAAACUAGAUAUAGAGAUUGUACAGUCACACCAAUAGGGGGUCACUAUCGUGUAUUUCAUGAACAAGUAUAAUCAAAUCAAAAAUAAUUGUUGCAUAGUGUGUCCCUUGGAUAAAUGUACAAUAUUACAAAUUUGUGAAAAGAUGCUCCAACUGUUGAUCUGACAGGGGAGAUAAUGCUGUAAACAGUGAUCCUUUAUUGGCGAUAGUGAUUUAUAUGAGCUGACAUGAAUUAUUGUUUUGUUCAUCUAGUAUUAAUGCUGUGGGAGGCCAUGGGAGGUCCAUUGAAGACCUCAAAAGUAAAUGGAAACAACUUAAGUGCCGGACUGUUGCAAAGGCACGAAAAAACCAUAAAGAAGUACAGAAGACAGGUGGUGGGGAGCCAGUAAAGGGACUCAAUACUGUUCAAGAAAAGGUACUCUCCUGUGUUCCAAAGGUGGUCCUGGAUGGGCUGAAAGGGAAUGACACCGGACCAAUAGGUACA